rnacentral:misc_RNA from 1 species
GAUGAAGAACGCAGCAAAAUGCGAUAAGUAAUGUGAAUUGCAGAAUUCAGUGAAUCAUCGAAUCUUUGAACGCACAUUGCGCCCGCCAGUAUUCUGGCGGGCAUGCCUGUUCGAGCGUCAUUUCAACCCUCAAGCCCCCGGGUUUGGUGUUGGGGAUCGGGCUGUACUCCAGCCCGGCCCCGAAAUCUAGUGGCGGUCUCGCUGCAGCCUCCAUUGCGUAGUAGCUAACACCUCGCAACUGGAACGCGGCGCGGCCAAGCCGUUAAACCCCCAACUUCUGAAUGUUGACCUCGGAUCAGGUAGGAAUACCCGCUGAACUUAAGCAUAUCAAUAAGCGGA